rnacentral:rRNA from 1 species
UGAUUCGUAACUUAGUGGCGGACGGGGUGAGUAACGCGUGGAUAACCUGCCUUGCACUGGGGGAUAACACUGAGAAAUCGGUACUAAUACCCCAUAACAUCCAGGGAGGCAUCUUCUUGGGUUGAAAACUCCGGUGGUAAUGGAUGGGCAUGCGUUGUAUUAGUUAGUUGGUGGGGUAACGGCUCACCAAGACAACGAUACAUAGGGGGACUGAGAGGUUAACCCCCCACAUUGGUACUGAGACACGGACCAAACUCCUACGGGAGGCAGCAG